rnacentral:rRNA from 1 species
AGGACGAACGCUGGCGGCGUGCUUAACACAUGCAAGUCGAACGAUGACCUCCAGCUUGCUGGGGUGAUUAGUGGCGAACGGGUGAGUAACACGUGAGUAACCUGCCCUCCACUCUGGGAUAAGCACUGGAAACGGUGUCUAAUACCGGAUACGAGCUUCCGCCGCAUGGUGAGGAGCUGGAAAGAAUUUUGGUGGGGGAUGGACUCGCGGCCUAUCAGGUAGUUGGUGAGGUAAUGGCUCACCAAGCCGACGACGGGUAGCCGGCCUGAGAGGGUGACCGGCCACACUGGACUGAGACACGGCCCAGACUCCUACGGGAGGCAGCAGUGGGAAUAUGCACAAUGGGCGAAAGCCUGAUGCAGCGACGCCGCGUGAGGGAUGACGGCCUUCGGUUGUAAACCUCUUUCAGUCAGGGACGAAGCGCAAGUGACGUACUGCAGAAGAAGCACCGCUAACUACGUGCCAGCAGCCGA